rnacentral:rRNA from 1 species
AUUGAACGCUGGCGGCAGGCCUAACACAUGCAAGUCGAACGGUAACAGGAAGAAGCUUGCUUCUUUGCUGACGAGUGGCGGACGGGUGAGUAAUGUCUGGGAAACUGCCUGAUGGAGGGGGAUAACUACUGGAAACGGUAGCUAAUACCGCAUAAUGUCGCAAGACCAAAGAGGGGGACCUUCGGGCCUCUUGCCAUCGGAUGUGCCCAGAUGGGAUUAGCUAGUAGGUGGGGUAACGGCUCACCUAGGCGACGAUCCCUAGCUGGUCUGAGAGGAUGACCAGCCACACUGGCACUGAGACACGGUCCAGACUCCUACGGGAGGCAGCAGUGGGGAAUAUUGCACAAUGGGCGCAAGCCUGAUGCAGCUAUGCCGCGUGUAUGAAGAAGGCCUUCGGGUUGUAAAGUACUUUCAGCGGGGAGGAAGGGAGUAAAGUUAAUACCUUUGCUCAUUGACGUUACCCGCAGAAGAAGCACCGGCUAACUCCGUG